AGUUGCUUUAUCACAGUGACCAAAAAAAACGGACUCACAUACCUCCAACUUGUUUCACACGACCAUCCUGACCCAACCCCUGUGGCUGAGGGAACUGGGAUGCUCAUUGGUCUGCCCAUGUCACAGGAUAUAAAAGGUGGAGUCCACUUCCUGGUAUAUCCUUGACUUUCCAGAAAUUCUGAGCUCAAACAACCCAUUCCCAGGUUCCAGUUCUCCUCUGAGGGCUGGCACUCAGAAGGUGUGGUAGCAGUGCCUGGCACAUAAGCAACAUGAUAUGGACAGUGAGUGAGUGAGUGAAUCCUGGCCAGCCCUUAACUCACUGUGUGACCCCAGGCAGUACGUAUUGGGCACCUAGCUGCAUCAGGCCUUACUGUGGGCUGCAUCUUCUUCCCCGGGACGCUGCAGAUGCAGCCAGCACCUGACUCUGGGCUUGGUGUGCCAGAUGAGGCCGUCAGCCGCCUCUGCUACCUACAGCAGAAGCUGAGCUCCAACAUCUCUGCUGUGGGCCUGUCCACUCCUCUCUUCUGUUUUUCUCUUUUUUUUCUCCUGUGUUUGGACCUGGGGAAACCUUUCUGCUCAGGAGUCCUGUCCUCUAAGCUCUGUCCCUGGACUGGCACCAGGAGCUGCCAACCUGAAGGCCGUGCAGGCAGUGGGCUGGGAUGGGCACAGGACACCAUGGAUCCUGUUUCUGAGACCCCGGGAGCCACCUCUCCCAGCUCAACUUGGGGCCCUUCUUCCCAGGCCAGGGGUGGCCUCUUGUGCCUGUGAGGGAGGGGUUGGCCUUGGGGAGGAGGAGGAGGAGGAAGGACAGGGAAGAGGCGGAGAACCAGCACCUGCCCAUGGUUGGCUAAUCGUCACUGUUCCACAGGUGAGCAGUGGUGUGUGCCUGGGCCUGGGCUAUGGGGGCAGAGCAGGUGACUGAGGCCCAGGUCGCCCAGACUUGUGGGUACGGAGGCUUGAGGCAGAUGCUCCUAGCAGCCCUCUUGCCAGGGUGUCCAGCUGAGGGGAUUCUGGGGACAGACCCACAGUGGAGUGGCUCGUGGCUCUGCAGGCAGAGGCCCCUCACUGCCCCUGUUGGAGCCUUGGUCUCCUAAUCUGGCAAAAAUAGGAAGAGCAGCCUGCGGCCUCCAGACCAGGCCCCACUGGCACCCGGCAGGUCUGCGCGGUGAGUGACAGAGCCUGAGAGCAGGCCCUGCCUCAGGCCCACAGUGACAUGGAGCUGAGUGCCCUUCGGCACCUUGCCCCUGAUUCCUGGCAGUUUUACCUUCUGUGGACUGAGCUGUACCCUCUGCCACCCAGGGGUGGCUGGGAACAUGGUGAUUUCAGACUGCAGCAACGGCUAACGUUUAUCAGGAUAUUUCACAAGAAAGAA